GGACGAUUAGCUCAGGAGGAAGAGCGCCGGAUUGAAAUCCCGGAGGUCCCAGGUUCAAAUCCUGGAUUGUCCACCG
rnacentral:tRNA from 1 species